rnacentral:rRNA from 1 species
CCCUUAGAUGUUCUGGGCCGCACGCGCGCUACACUGAUGCAUUCAACGAGUUUUUCCUUGGCCGAGAGGCCUGGGCAAUCUUUUAAACGUGCAUCGUGAUAGGGAUAGAUUAUUGCAAUUAUUAAUCUUGAACGAGGAAUUCCUAGUAAACGCAGAUCAUCAAUCUGCAUUGAUUACGUCCCUGCCCUUUGUACACACCGCCCGUCGCACCUACCGAUUGAAUGGUCCGGUGAAGCCUCGGGAUUGUAGCUGUUUCCUUUAUUGGGUACAGCCGUGAGAACUUGUCUGAACCUUAACACUUAGAGGAAGGUGAAGUCGUAACA